UACGUAGGAGGCGAGCGUUGUCCGGAUUUACUGGGCGUAAAGCGCGCGCAGGCGGCACUGUAAGUAAGGUGUGAAAUCUCCCUGCUCAACGGGGAGGGUGCAUUUUAGACUGCAGAGCUAGAGGACGGUAGAGGGGGGGUGGAAUUGCUGGUGUAGCGGUGAAAUGCGUAGAGAUCAGCAGGAACACCCGUGGCGAAGGCGGCCCCCUGGGCCGAACCUGACGCUGAGGCGCGAAGGCUAGGGGAGCGAACGGGG
rnacentral:rRNA from 1 species